GUGGGGAAUUUUGGACAAUGGGCGCAAGCCUGAUCCAGCAAUGCCGCGUGCAGGAAGAAGGCCUUCGGGUUGUAAACUGCUUUUGUACGGAACGAAACGGUCCGGGUUAAUACCCUGGGCUAAUGACGGUACCGUAAGAAUAAGCACCGGCUAACUACGUGCCAGCAGCCGCGGUAAUACGUAGGGUGCGAUCGUUAAUCGGAAUUACUGGGCGUAAAGCGUGCGCAGGCGGUGCUGUAAGACAGGCGUGAAAUCCCCGGGCUCAACCUGGGAAUUGCGCUUGUGACUGCAGUGCUGGAGUGCGGCAGAGGGGGAUGGAAUUCCGCGUGUAGCAGUGAAAUGCGUAGAUAUGCGGAGGAACACCGAUGGCGAAGGCAAUCCCCUGGGCCUGCACUGACGCUCAUGCACGAAAGCGUGGGGAGCAAACAGGAUUAGAAACCCGUGUAGUCC
rnacentral:rRNA from 1 species